CAUAUACUCCCUCCGUUCCGAAUUACUUGUCGCAAGUAUGGAUGUAUCUAGAUGUAUCUAGAUGUAUUUUAGUUCUAGAUACAUCCAUUUCUGAGACGAGUAAUUUGGAACGGAGGGAGUAUGUG
rnacentral:pre_miRNA from 1 species